rnacentral:rRNA from 1 species
GAUGAACGCUAGCGGCAGGCUUAACACAUGCAAGUCGAGGGGUAGGUUACUUCGGUAAUUGAGACCGGCGCACGGGUGCGUAACGCGUAUACAAUCUACCUUUUACAGAGGGAUAGCCCAGAGAAAUUUGGAUUAAUACCUCAUAGUAUUUUUGAAUCGCAUGAUUUGAUUAUUAAAGUUCCAACGGUAAAAGAUGAGUAUGCGUCCCAUUAGCUAGAUGGUAAGGUAACGGCUUACCAUGGCUACGAUGGGUAGGGGUCCUGAGAGGGAGAUCCCCCCACACUGGUACUGAGACACGGACCAGACUCCUACGGGAGGCAGCAGUGAGGAAUAUUGGACAAUGGGCGCAAGCCUGAUCCCA